GCCCGCAUCGCAUAGUGGUAUUGCACAGGCCUGGAGUGCCUGGCCCUUUGGGCUCGUAGGUUCGAUUCCUGCUGCGGGCG
rnacentral:tRNA from 1 species